UUUCCGUAGGUGAACCUGCGGAAGGAUCAUUAUUGUAUAACCGAGGUGCGAGGGCUGUCGCUGACCCGAAAGGUCGUGCACGCCCGAGUGCCCUCACACACAUCCAUCUCACCCCUAUGUGCACCACCGCGUGGGUCCCCCUUUGGCUUGUUCGGAGGGGGGCUUACGUUUUCACACAAACUUUGUAUGCAGUGUAGAAUGUAUUUUUUGUUUUUGCGAUCACGCAAUCAAUACAACUUUCAACAACGGAUCUCUUGGCUCUCGCACGAUGAAAACGCAGC
rnacentral:misc_RNA from 1 species